UCUUACUGCAGCGGCCAUGUUCGAAAAGUUUUCUGUAACUAAGCAUAAUGAUCUGAGGACUAGAGCCUCCAGAGGCUCGCUCACACUGAGACACAUCAGCAACACACAUGCAGCAGAGAGGAAGUGAUGAGCUCAACAUAGGAGGUGCUCUUCCUUUUCUUUCAGAUCUGAUUUAGAGUCAGGCGAAUGAGCUCAGAAUCAAAACACAGUGCUCUUUAUGGUCAAAAUGAAACUGCUCAGGCAACCAAAAUGGCUGCGACCAGGACAUCCUCGGGGUUCAGGUUUAAAGCUGGUAAAGUUUCGAAAGAAGUCCAGCAUUUCUCUGAUAUUUCUGAUAACGUUCUACAAGGAAGUGCUCAACGACAGGGCUUCACUAGGCAGGGUGAAAAGAACACGGAUCACACCGUGCUCACUCUCUCCUUCCUGUCUGACUUCCUCUGCAGAACAGACGGUGUAACAUACUUAACACCUUUCAAGCCUUCACAAGUGUUUAACCAGAGCUUCGCCUUUCUGACGUCAAGCCAGCUGAUUCACACUGAAAUUAUUUAGAACUGCAACGUACCGUAAUAUGGUUUACUGCAGAACACAGGGUUGCGUUUGUUGUGUUCGCAACUAAGCACUAGAUUGCACAGCAUAGACGUGCCUACACUGAAAGCUUUUACUGGGCUUAACAACAAACCAUCGAGUCUUCCUCAUCACUGGAUGAAGAGCUGACUGAAAAAUCACGUUUCGAUUUUUGGAGAAGUGGAGCGAUGUUCAAGAUACACAGACUCACACAAAUGACUCACCGUCAACGUCCCUCUGACUGAUGGACAGCAUGGAGACACUCUCUCGGAGCGGAAGAGUCAUAGACUGGCGGCUGCGUCGGAAUGGCCGAUACCGUCUCGAUGUCUAAAAAAGAA